CACAGGCUACAGAUCACAGAUCUACUGAUUAAACCAGUGCAGCGGAUCAUGAAAUACCAGCUUCUUCUGAAGGAUUUUCUCAAGUUCUCCAAAAGGCUGGAUUGGACACUAUAGAAUUAGAGAAAGCUGUAGAGGUGAUGUGUGUUGUUCCAAA